rnacentral:rRNA from 1 species
AUUGAACGCUGGCGGCAGGCCUAACACAUGCAAGUCGAACGGUAACAGGAAGACGCUUGCUUCUUUGCUGACGAGUGGCGGACGGGUGAGUAAUGUCUGGGAAACUGCCUGAUGGAGGGGGAUAACUACUGGAAACGGUAGCUAAUACCGCAUAACGUCGCAAGACCAAAGAGGGGGACCUUCGGGCCUCUUGCCAUCGGAUGUGCCCAGAUGGGAUUAGCUAGUAGGUGGGGUAACGGCUCACCUAGGCGACGAUCCCUAGCUGGUCUGAGAGGAUGACCAGCCACACUGGAACUGAGACACGGUCCAGACUCCUACGGGAGGCAGCAGUGGGGAAUAUUGCACAAUGGGCGCAAGCCUGAUGCAGCCAUGCCGCGUGUAUGAAGAAGGCCUUCGGGUUGUAAAGUACUUGCAGCGGGGAGGAAGGGAGGAAAGUUAAUACCUUUGCUCAUUGACGUUACCCGCAGAAGAAGCACCGGCUAACUCCGUG